GAAAUCGUAAUCUUCUUGUAAGUAUCUACACAGAAAUGAUCAAAAUUCUUCAUAAAAAUACCUUUUUUUCCUUAGAAGUGUAAAAAUAACCCAUGCUACAUGACUACAGCAACUGAGAUUUAUAAAAUCUAGCCAUAAUGAAGAGAUUGAUGAAUAAUGUCUAUUUUCUGAUAAUUGUUUUUUUAAAUGAUCACUGAAUAAAUGAUAUUGGCUAUUGAGAAAAAAACAAAGUAAACUUGUCAGAAUUUCUAAACAACAAGUAUAUAAUACAAGAGUUUAAGUAAAAUUAUUAUAGAACACUUUAAUAGAAAUAUUAAUCUCUAACUUAUAACUUGCAAUUUUCCAGGAAAGUUUCUGUAAAGUAACUAACUAGCUUAUUCCUUUAAAGAUAGAAUAUACAUUAUCUAAGGCUAAUAAUCUUUUUAAGAUGCAAGAUAGAUUUUAAUCCAAUACACAAGCAACAAGGAUAGAACUAGCAAUUUUAGGUAGUUGUGUUUCUGUAUAAAUCUGAACUAAUUACUAUAAACAUUAUUAAAUAUUUACAUGUGCAUUUUAAUAGUAUUUCAGACUGCAAAAUUACCAGAGGGCACAUUCCUGGCCUUCCUGCCUUUGGAUCAAAUCUCCUAAAAUGAAAAGGCAAAGGACCAAACCCAACAUCUGGCCAGUAUGAGACAAGCCACUGAACUAAAUCCUCAACUGCUGCCUAUCUACACCGCAACCAGUUCUCUCCUACCCAUAUAUUUUGAAGAAAUGACCGAGAUCAUAUCAUUUCACCUGAAUAUUUUCGAGUAUGUAUCCCUACAAAAAAAAUACUUAAAAAAUAUUAUUACCAUACCUUAAAAAAAUUAUCAUCUAGUAACAUCAAAUAAAUAGCCAGAGAUCAAAUUUCAACUCCCACUACUGAGCUACGUUUCCAGCCCCUAAAUAAGCUUUCUUGCACAUUAUCUAGAUCAUUGAGUUAAACCCCCAGCUCAUGGAUUUUACCUCUCGUCAUCUUCAUUUUCACUAAAGGCUGUUUUGAAAACAUUUAUUCUUUCUACCAGUUGACUACAAUCUUGUUUCAUAUCCAAAUCCAUGCUCUAAAGAAAAACAAAGGACAAAGAACAACAACAAAAAAACUUACUAAAAUUUAUCAAAAACUCAUGGAAACAUGAAUAUUACUAUAUUAAAAAUUCUCAAUACAA